CAGGAAAUAGUUUAAUUUAAAAUAUUAAUUUUGGAGAUUAAUGAUAAAAAUGUAUUUUUUUUUCUGA
rnacentral:tRNA from 1 species